AUGAUCAGCAAAGUGGAACUU
rnacentral:miRNA from 1 species